GAUGAUUGGGUGUUCAUGCUGUGUGUGAGAUGUGCCUCCCUCUAAACCUUGUUACAAUGUCAGUACAUUACACAGGUGA
rnacentral:snoRNA from 1 species